rnacentral:rRNA from 1 species
AUUGAACGCUGGCGGCAGGCCUAACACAUGCAAGUCGAACGAGUGGCGGACGGGUGAGUAAUGUCUGGGAAACUGCCUGAUGGAGGGGGAUAACUACUGGAAACGGUAGCUAAUACCGCAUACCAUCAGAUGUGCCCAGCUGGGAUUAGCUAGUUGGUGGGGUAACGGCUCACCAAGGCGACUAUCCCUAGCUGUUCUGAGAGGAUGAACAUCGAACUUGGGAAGGAGACACGUGCCAGAGGCAUACGGGAGGCAGCAGUGGGGAAUAGUGCACCAUGGGCGAAAGCCUGAUGCAGCCAUGCCGGGUGGAUGAAGAAGGCCGUAGGGUUGUAAAGUACUUUCAGCGGGGAGGCGUUACCGGCAGAAGAAGCACCGGCUAACUCCGUGCCAGCAGCCGCGGUAAUUC